GAUUAAAUAACAUAUUCUGAAAUUGGAACAAUACAGAGAUUACCAUGGCCCCUGCACAAAGAUGAUAUGCAAAUUCGUGAGGCAUUAAAAAAAAAA
rnacentral:snRNA from 1 species